rnacentral:rRNA from 1 species
UACAGAGGGUGCAAGCGUUGUUCGGAAUUAUUGGGCGUAAAGCGCGUGUAGGCGGCUUUGCAAGUCGGAUGUGAAAGCCCUGGGCUCAACCUAGGAAGUGCAUUCGAAACUGCUGAGCUUGAGUUCUGGAGAGGAAGGCGGAAUUCUCGGUGUAGAGGUGAAAUUCGUAGAUAUCGAGAGGAACACCGGUGGCGAAGGCGGCCUUCUGGACAGCAACUGACGCUGAGACGCGAAAGCGUGGGGAGCAAACAGG